UGAGAAGAAGUUUUUCCAAAUACCCGACCUUCUACUGUUUUUACAAGAUUUUCUUCUGAAGCUCCUCCACUAGUGCCCUCUAAUGUCAGUAGAAAAGUUAUCUUGGAAGAGUUGAGGAUCAGAUUGUCAAAAGGAUUUGCUUUUUCUCCUGGAGUAAGAGUGUGUUCAGCCCCUGCAUUCCUUUCUAGAUGGCACUGAAAGCUUUUGCCUUUUAUUCCCAUGUGAUCACCAAAUCCUGAUAAAAGGUGGCAGCUGUUUCAUGUGGGGAGAAAGCAGAUGGAUUGACCUAUACAGGUCAUGUUGAUCUGAGAAGUGCUCCUAUCUAAGAGAGGAAACUAAGAAGAAAUAAUAUAAUGUCAUUUUUUUCAUUUACAGACUUUUUUGUAUGGCUCAGGGCAAUUACUUUGUAAAAUGUAAUGCUUUACAGCUUGUAGCUGUCACAUAAAGACAAAGAUCUUAAAUAGCAUUGCUGGAUAGUAAAAGAAAUAUGCUAAAACAAAGCUUAAAAAGGAAACUCCUCAACUUCACUUGUUUACUUCUGCUGUAGGCAGUGAAUUGGUUAUGAUAUGGAAUACUGAUAAAACCAGGACAAAAGUGCUGAUAAUGAGAAGAACUCAUCUUUGGAUUUCUGGUUCGAAGUAAUCUGCAGUUUGCUUGUGCUUACUGAAGUAUUUUGAUGAAGAACAGGAGAGGCUUAGACAGGAACGGCAUAUUCUAUAGCUGAGAUUUGUUGCUGAGGCAAACAAUCUAAGUUUUGGGAAGUUGUUUGCAGUUACCUGUUUAGUAAUGUGAAAAUUGGCUGUCAGUUGACAGAUGAUUUCUCCACCUGUUUUGCAGGCAUCAGAAAUGAGGAUCCAUUUUAGUGAAUGCCAACCCAAACACAGCAGCUGCGUGCUCUGGGUUGUGGUGGCAAGCCCUCACAGCAGUGGAAAACAAAACGUAUCGAUCAGAUCCAGAACGCUGCUGUGCUGGAAGGAAGGAUCUCACACUGCUUGAGGAAGGUGGAGCCUGUAAUGGUACAGGAAGCUUGAUAAAUGCAAACUGAGUUGCAUUGUUUGAUUACUGGACUUCAGUUAAAAAUAAUGGAAUAGUUUUUAAGUGGCAGAUUUAAAUGAAAGGACGAUACUUUGCUAAAGAGAGUAGCUGGAAGAAGAAGAAAGAAAGGCACAAAAUAAAAAGCAGGAAUAACUGUGGCUGCAGACUAACUAGUGUUCCUCAGAGGAAGCAUCAGUUCUUUGAACUUCUAGUGGACACAAUAUGGGCGUACGUUUCCUCCUGUAGCCUAACAGACGAGUAAAAUAUUAACAUGUACUAGGGUAGCUACGUUUGGAGCACAGUUAGCAAAUGUUAAUGUAAACCACAAGAAAACACACACACUGGUUUGUGGUAUUAACCCCUGGUGGUUUAUGCUACCACUGGUUAAACGUACCAGCUCCAUUGCUUGCCUUGCACUGUCGCUUCUGGUCUGGAUAGUAGGAAAGGAAUGUCAUUUCUGCUUGCCCAUUCUCCAGUCUUUCAGCGUUGAUGGGUUAAUUUAGUCUUGACUUUAGAAUAUGUUUCAUAUGGUUGGUUCAGCCAAGCGUAGAAGCCAACUGAAAUACGUUUGUGACAGUGCUGCUCUGACCUCUUCCUUGUAUUGUGAGAUACUUGCACUUCUACUAUUUCGUGCAGGUGGUAAAAUUGUGGUGAAGAGCAAAAAAUAGCUUCCAUCCAAAAUGGCACCUGUGGUGAAUGUUAUCAGAAAAGGAAACUGAUAAAAAUGUAUCUAUUGCAAUAAAGCUAGUCUAUUGCAGUACAAGUUUCCCGGUCAGAAACACAAUCAUUCUGUGUCAGGCCUACUUAAAGGUGCAGGUAUCUGCUGAAAGCCACAGUCCGGCUGCAGCUGUAGCCAGAAUGAAGACAUGGAAAGGUCUACUAAGGUACAGGAGUCCAGGCUGUGACGUGCAUGGUUUCAGUUCUUCCCUGGGAAGAUUGCCUUCCUAGCCCUGCUCGUGGCGUGACCAUCGCUGUCCUCAGGAGCAGCACAGUGAACACUGAGAGAGGCCUAUGAGACCCAGAGCACCGGCUCCCUGUUUCAAGAAGCAAGAAGAACUGUGGACUUCGACCCCUCUGAGGGUAUGGCGUGAAGUUUGUCUUCUCUUUAACCUUCUGGUAAGUGCUUAUCACUGUCUCUGUGCUUGAGGAGAAAACAUGGAGAGGGCUGUUGCUAUUUGUGAGUGGAUGGGAUGCUGAGGUACUGGAGUGGCAGCAAACAGCGGCCCUGCUUCGGGGUGGCCCAGAAGUGUGUGUUGACUGCAGCUCUUGCUGCUGGGAGCCUUCAUCACUGGAGGAGGAAACCUGCAGCGAGUGCUCCGUGGCUCCUCCAGCCUGAGGCCCUCCUGCACAAAGAGCUGCACUUCUGUGCAAGGUGCUCGUGCUGUUGCUAAGAGACUGAAGCUCAACUUGCAAAGAAAGGUUAUUUCCAAAUUUAAAAUGGCUUCUCUCGUAGAUCUGGCUCAGAAGUGAGGUCCUUUAUGCAAACGGGCAUUCACCUGCUCAUGAGCAGUUCUUGUUUUAUGUGGUGAAUUUCUAACUUCACAACAUAAGGGUCUGAAAUUUAGGAAGGACAAACUUGUAACUUUGUGAAUGUGCACAGCUGUAUGUGCAGACACAGAGCACGUAGCACAGUCAUAUUCCAGAUGCUUUGUGACAGCACCAUAGAUCUUAGGUAGAAUUGAUAGAAAUCAUUUCCAGGGUAUGCAUCUUUCAAACCCUUUUGUGGAACCACUCUCACUUUGUGCUUUGUUACUGCACCUGUGGGUGGGAACUGGGGAAACGGGUUGAAACUUGUCAGAACACUCCACAGGUGCAUUUUUACCAUUAAUGGUUAAAAAUUGAAUGUUUUGAGCCUACUCUGUGCUUCAGAUGAGAGCACCGACAGUUUUUUCCACACUCAGAACUCCAGCGUUCACCUUCGAGUCGCUCUCCUGCAGCACUGCCCCAGGGAAUAUAUGAACAUUGACACUCAGUCAAUGCCUAGUUUUUCUCCUUUGCUUUCUGCUCACAAUUCUAUUGUGGUCUUCUCAUCUCCUGCCCUGAUUAGUGUUAAUUUCCUUCUCUAUUAAUAUUUUUAGUACCGUACUGCAGUCCAUUCAAAGCACCAUUAUGAAGUGAAGUUUCUUGUUAUUAUUUCUCAGGUGCAGUUACCUCAAUCAGUUCUUUAGUUUUCACAGUGACAAGCUUAAACUUCAUGUUCUAAUCUUGUUAGCCUUUUAAAACAUGGAUCAUUUUGUAGAUUCUCACUGUGUUUCUUUCCUUAUUUCCUUUUCAUCUGCACUGUGGCUAAAAGUAUUGACAGCACUGAAGCACAAUACUUUUAGGAAAAAACACCCACGACACUAUUCUAUUGGUACAUGAGAAUGACUAAGAAUAAUGGACUUUUUUGCACUGGGACUCAGGUUACUGAUGUUGAUGGAGAUCUCCUUAUGAUCACAUCGUGGUGCUGUUGAGUGCUGCAUAUUCCAGGGGCAGAUCAAAUCCAAAAGGGAGAAGUUUUGUGACAUGUCCUGGCACGCCACAAGACUGCAGAGACCAAACUGGCUUCCUUUUAGUCUUCCUUUUACUAAUCUCAGAUGAUACUCUUGGCUGUGAUUAACACCAUUAGUCUCACGGCUCUGCAGUCUAAUGCUUUAGAGUGAGAUGCUGUCCAAAUCUUUUGGACACCUUCGUGAAGAUGACUGGUGCGGGCUGAUGCUUUUAGGACAGGAUUCCCGGGACUGAGCUGCCGGCAGCGGCCCGAAGGUGGCAAUGUCGGAUCCUCGAACGGCCGCACUGCGGCUGCUGCUGUCGAAACCCUGAAACAGGCGCUGAGGGCAGAGUUUCUGCUGUCAGAGGAAAAGCAAGGAGUCAGUGGGAAAAAAAAUGCACAUGCAGGUUUACACUAGUCACCCCAAGAGGAAUGUUUUAUUAAUGCAAUUUUGGGGCGUAUCGGAGCCCCUACCUUGGAACAAAGAUGCCAACUAUUGAUGCUGAUGCUUCUUUUCUGUUCCCAUCAAAUCAUGUUCAUUUUCACCCUGUGAUACCUGAACUGAAUUUGUGCUCCCUACCUUUGCCUAACUAACAGGUAACUUUCCCCCAUUAUUGUGCCACAUGAUGCUUUGCGAUCUUAAUUUUCUCCAUUCACGUUAUCCACUGAAGCAUUCCUCGCAAAAAUUAAAUACAUUUACAAUUCUACAGUGUUGCAGAUGAUUUUCUUGAUUUCCCAAAAUGUGCUUCUAAUUCUGAGUGAGACUGACUCAUCUUUUCCUUGGUUGACCUGAGAACUGCUAUCACUAUAAAAGUCCUGGAGGAUAACGCGCAGGUUCUUUGCGUGGUGAAGUGCAUCACUAAUGAUAAUGAGCAGCAUGACUUCCAUUUAUCAUCCAGCAACUGUGUGUCAAAACUUUGCCUCCAUCCAUAGUUACCUAUGGAAACUUAUGCUAGACCGCCCCACUUUAUUCCUGUGGUAGGCACACCAUGUAAAUGACAGUAUCAUACCGACCAGAAAGGGACACGUUACUGUAUUUGCUGACCAUGAGAAUGACUGAGAGCUGUAAAAUUCUCAUUCAAACUUUGGAAACAAACAGCCUUGUUUUUUUAAUUCUAAUCUCCAGAUGAUGUCUGGAAAGUGCUUGCAUUCCUGGUCAGCACCUUCAGCGGGCUAAUCAUUGCAGUUUAAAGCCUUGUCUGUGGCUGCACGACAAAAGUAGGAAAGAAAAUGAUGAAGAUAACAAAGAUGGCUACAAAACCACAAACACGGAGAAGGAUGCCUGAUGGAGGAGAAGCUCUGGACAGCGCUGCCCAUGUUUGUGUGCCCCAGUUGACCAGCAUUGCACAAGGCUGUUCUGCUCUUGCCACAAGGGCUACAGGAAUCAUGAAUGAAUAUGUAUAAAGUGUAGCAAAUUUGUUCUAAUUACCCUACCUGGUCUGCUGUGUUUCAAGUUAUGGCAGAACUUUAUUUCUGUUUAUUUCUGGAUUAGUUCCCACGGGCAAAGAGAAAGCAGAAGCCCCAUUGGGUAGAGCAGAAGUGUUGCCUGCUACUACAAUCCUGCCACGCCUUUGGCAGAACUAAUAGCGCUCAUGAUAUCUUCAGUAAUUUCUAGGGAGUAUUUCAGAAGAUGCUAGAAAAUGAGAAAGAAAAACAAUAAGCAAAAAGGGAGGAAGUUCUGGUUUUAUUGUUAAUAAUUAUAAAGCCAAACUCUGAACAUUUUCAGUUUGUUAGUGCAGUGCAGGCAAUAUUCUCCUUUAUUUGUGAGACGUGAAUUUAUCUUUAUGUGUGGUGUAUGAUUUUACAUAGUCCUGCUGACUGACCCCAAACAAGGAGCACUGUCCUGAGGACUUACACUCUAACGUCACAAACAAGACAGACCAUGCACAGAGCUGAAGUGCCUCACUGAAGUGCCAGUUGGGAUCUAAACUGGUCUUCUUCACUUUCUGGUCCUUUCUAUGACCAUUUCUAUGUUAGCAACACUGAGAUCAUUAGCAAUGCUGAAUUUGGCAUAUUAAAAUACCACAGAGGAAGUGGUAAGUGAGUGGUUAAAUCUUGUGUUAAGCAUUUUUUAUGUGCUAGUAAUAGAACUUUUGGAGUGUAUUUUUGUUGUUGGGAGUGAUGUUCAUCCUCUGUUGUGAACUCUAGUCCGUGUCUUCAGUUCUGCCUGGUUUCUGCAGAUUGCGGUCCUGCUCUCUAGGCAGCCCAGGGGAUGCUGCAGUUCCACCAGUCCAGAAGGCAUUGCACUCUGGGCUUUAUUUCUGUAUUUUUGGUACACAUAUCAUCCUUUGGAUAAGUAAAUACUAAAUUCCUGUUAAAUCUUGCACAAGGAAGCUAAUAACUAUUAAUGCAGAAAAAAAUGGGCCAUAUACUAUUGAAGCACUGAAUGAUGCAUGAGCAGAGAUGGAUGUCCCAGUCUUCAAAGUCACAUUUGUCACUUUUUCAUUUAAUUUCUGAUUAAACAGUCCGUUACAUCUGUAGGACUGUGGGUAUCCAGACCAGCUUUCAGCCUGUUGUAGAUCCAAGGGAAGGAUGUGUAGUUUUACAGCUUUGUUACAAGAAGGGUCUGCUCCUUUCCUCUUGUUUGAACUUACAGGUCCUUUUUUUUCUUAACUAAGCCAAAAGGAAAAAAAAGUCAGCAAUUGUGGGGAACAGAGCCAUUUUAGGAAAAACUGCCUAUUUUAGGCACGAACUGCCAAGAACUGCUCUGUUUGCUGCUGACAUUGAUUCACGCUGCUCCUGGCCAGCCCAGGGUGAGCUCUUUGACCAGGGCCCUGUGUACUACUCCUUGUUCCUUGGUCCCCACAUGUCAGGAACAAGGUAUGGGAAGGAUAAAUAAUACGGAGUUGGUGGUUCUGUGCAGUUGAAGAAUGAGACUCCAAUUCACCUGACCUAACACUGGCCUUCGAAUGAGAUACCUGAAUUAGGGAGCUGUCUCAUCCUAGGCUUCAUUUAAAAAAAUAAAAACUGGGGGAGGCUUCACAUCUGCCAAAGGUGAUCUAUGUCUUUUGGCAAUCAGGUCACAACUUCAGGCACUUCAGGGAGGGCUUAGCAAAUUUCAGCUGAGUCUGUCUACAGCCUGAUGGGGAGGACUGAGGGGCAAGCUUUGCUCACAGGGAGACUCCUAUGAAACUUUGGUUACAGUCACACAGAGAGCUGCAGCUGUAGGAAUGAGAACCUUCUAUAGCAAAACCUCUUUUGCUUUUGCAUCGGCCGUUUGCAUCAAGUUAAGUUCUAGCCAAACAAGUCUUGAAUGUAUAGAGCGUGCUGCUUUUCCUUCCCAGACGUGUAUCUGAUGAUGUGCAAAUUCAUGAUUCAAUUCUGUAUAAUUGUUGCUUAACUGGAAUUGCUAAAGUCUCUGACUAUUCAAUGACACCGCUAAGACUGCUGACUAUGGAAGUUGGGAGUUCUAAAUUACAGUGAAAAAAUAUAAAGGUGGAAAUGAAGACAAGUCCCAUAUAUCCCCAAAAGAGAAAUUUCCCUGAAACCUCAACCUAUAACAAAAGUGCAAUGCUUCAGCUCACUGCAGUGGAAAUGCUAAGUCAUGGCCUGGAGCAGUGAUGGAGCACCUGGUGGGAAGGCAGGGUCAGCCCAGCAGAGCCCAGGUGCAUGCAAUGUGUCUGAGUGACCGGAAGGGCUGGAGCCAGGAUCCACCCCUGCCCAGACCUCAUUUAAGGGUUGGCAGGGGAGGUGAGGGUGUCCUGCUGGAGAUCCCUAUCUACCUGAGGCCUUCUAUAGUCACCGUGCUUCAGCUGGUGGUGCUCGUUGCCCAAACUCUCCCUCUGCUGCUGCUCACUUCUCACCUCCUGCAGUCGGUCGUGCCUGCCUAUAGCACUUGUGACAGUCCUUCCACACCUUAAGAAG